UACGAAGGGGGCUAGCGUUGCUCGGAAUUACUGGGCGUAAAGCGCACGUAGGCGGUCUUUUAAGUCAGGGGUGAAAUCCUGGAGCUCAACUCCAGAACUGCCUUUGAUACUGAAGAUCUUGAGUUCGGGAGAGGUGAGUGGAACUGCGAGUGUAGAGGUGAAAUUCGUAGAUAUUCGCAAGAACACCAGUGGCGAAGGCGGCUCACUGGCCCGAUACUGACGCUGAGGCGCGAAAGCGUGGGGAUCAAACAGG
rnacentral:rRNA from 1 species